AUACAGAAGCCUCAAGCGUUACCCGGAUUCACUGGGCGUAAAGGGUUCGUAGGCGGUUAUAUCAGUCGAGUGUUAAAUCCUGAGGCCCAACCUCAGGCCCGCAUUCGAAACAGUAUAACUAGAAGAAGUGAGAGGUAAACAGAACUCAUGGUGUAGGGGUGAAAUCCGUUGAUAUCAUGGGGAAUACCAAAUGCGAAGGCAGUUUACUGGCACUUUCUUGACGCUGAGGAACGAAAGCGUGGGUAGCGAACGGGAUUAGAAACCCUAGUAGUCC
rnacentral:rRNA from 1 species